GAUGAAGAACGUAGCGAAAUGCGAUAAGUAAUGCGAAUUGCAGAAUUUCCGUGAGUCAUCGAGUCUUUGAACGCACAUUGCGCCCCCUGGUAUUCCGGGGGGCAUGCCUGUCCGAGCGUCAUUGCUGCCCAUCAAGCACGGCUUGUGUGUUGGGUCCUCGUCCCCCCCGGGGGACGUGCCCGAAAGGCAGCGGCGGCACCGCGUCCGGUCCUCGAGCGUAUGGGGCUUUGUCACCCGCUCUGCAGGCCCGGCCGGCGCUGGCCGACGCGAAAGCAACCAUUUUUUCUCCAGGUUGACCUCGGAUCAGGUAGGGAUACCCGCUGAACUUAAGCAUAUCAAUAAGCGGAGGA
rnacentral:misc_RNA from 1 species